rnacentral:rRNA from 1 species
UACGGAAGGUCCGGGCGUUAUCCGGAUUUAUUGGGUUUAAAGGGAGCGCAGGCGGCCUUUUAAGCGUGACGUGAAAUGUGGAUGCUCAACAUCUGAACUGCGUCGCGAACUGGAGGGCUUGAGUGGGUACGACGCCGGCGGAAUUCGUGGUGUAGCGGUGAAAUGCUUAGAUAUCACGAAGAACCCCGAUUGCGAAGGCAGCCGGCGAGUCCUCAACUGACGCUAAAGCUCGAAAGUGCGGGUAU